rnacentral:lncRNA from 1 species
UAGAUGUCUGCCUACUGAAAAUAAUCACACAUCUUCAUGUCCGUUGUAACAGCUGGCCUCCCACACUGGCCUUUGCAGCCACGUCCACAUAUGAGGCUCAUUAUGAAGUAAUGAGAACAUGCAUAUAGGACACAAACAAAUAUCCACCUCAUUACUCUUUGGUCACACAUGUAUCUCAAUGGCCUCAGCUCUGAAUACAAAGCACAUAAGCAAACAAAUAUAACAGCAUCAGUUAAAUUCUGGUGGAAAAUUUUUGGGGUGCCACAAGCCUGAGACAAAACAAAUUUCCAUUUUCAACCGGAAUGAAAUUAAGAAAACAGAUAAAAGCCACAUACAAAAUCUCAUUGAGGGUCUUUUUGCUUUUUAACUAAAUUUACAACUAAAAUGAAAAGUGCCUCGGAAUGAAAUAUUAAAUCCAAGCUGGUGUCUGUCCACCUGUCCUUAGGAAGUCUCAACUUACGAAGUCCACAAAAUUUCUCAAAAAAGAGUUUUAUCACUUUGAAUUUGUCCCCUGCUUAAAAUCCCUCAAAAUAUACAAUAUCUAAUAAAAAUCAGCCUUUUACUUAUAAAAUGAAUUCAUUUAUCAGCAUGAGAAUAUGUGAAUAUGUUUAUUUAGGUUUAACUUACUUCUUACUAUAUAGAUUUGGCUUGUUUUUUAUAAUAACAACUGAUAUAUGAUUCACAAAAAAGCAGAGAAGAGUAAGAGAAAGAGAGAGAAAUGGAGAAAGAGAAGAAAAAAGGGAUAAAGAAUGAAAGAG